UACGAAGGGGGCUAGCGUUGCUCGGAAUGACUGGGCGUAAAGGGCGCGUAGGCGGUUUGUACAGUCAGAUGUGAAAUUCCUGGGCUUAACCUGGGGGCUGCAUUUGAUACGUGCAGACUUGAGUGAGGAAGAGGGUCGUGGAAUUCCCAGUGUAGAGGUGAAAUUCGUAGAUAUUGGGAAGAACACCGGUGGCGAAGGCGGCGACCUGGUCCUUGACUGACGCUGAGGCGCGAAAGCGUGGGGAG
rnacentral:rRNA from 1 species